GGGGUUAUGGCUCAGUGGUAGAGCACUUGCCUAGCACAUAUGAGGCCCUGAGUUCAAUCCUCAGCACCA
rnacentral:tRNA from 1 species